GCUGUUAAGGGUUCGUAGUUGAAUUGAGGACUGUUCCAGCACGCGCACCGUCCAACCCUCUGGGUUCGGGCCAGCUCUGGCAGUUCGUGAACAUCAUCAGAAACGCAUUCAUGGGAACGUCCUACCCAAACUUACGCAUGCAAUGUAUGCAGGGGGGCGCCCGUGUAUUUUACUGUGCUAAAAAAGCGCGACUAAAGCAGUCGUUUCGACUCUGAAUUUGAAAGCAUGGGAUAACGAGCAGCAGCCUACGGGCUUCCGUUAUGGCUUUUGUUGGUAUCUUUAAAUGUCUGUGGGAGCUAUGGACUCGUUCGACAGGCGGUUCGGGGUGUUUAGUCCCCACGCUUCCGGCGUUUAGUGGUCUUCGGGCCCUGGCGUCCGGUUGCGGUGUCCAGGAAUGAAGGAGGGUUGUUCGGGGGAAACGUACCUGGGUGUGAGAGGUGAAAUUCUUAGACCAUCCAGAGACGAACUACAGCGAGGCAUUUUCCAAGGAUACCUUCCUCAAUCAAGAACUAAAGUG
rnacentral:rRNA from 1 species